GACGAACGCUGGCGGCGUGCCUAAUACAUGCAAGUCGAACGCACAGUUUAUACCGUAGCUUGCUACACCAUAGACUGUGAGUUGCGAACGGGUGAGUAACGCGUAGGUAACCUGCCUGGUAGCGGGUGAUAACUAUUGGAAACGAUAGCUAAUACCGCAUAAUAUUAAUUAUUGCAUGAUAAUUAAUUGAAAGGUGCAAUUGCACCACUACCAGAUGGACCUGCGUUGUAUUAGCUAGUAGGUGAGGUAACGGCUCACCUAGGCGACGAUACAUAGCCGACCUGGGAGGGUGGUCGGCCACCCUGGGACUGAGACACGGCCCAGACUCCUACGGGAGGCAGCAGUAGGGAAUCUUCGGCAAUGGACGAAAGUCUGACCGAGCAACGCCGCGUGAGGGAAGAAGGGUUUCGGAUCGUAAAGCUCUGUUGUAAGAGAAGAAAGGGUGUGAGAGUGGAAAGUUCACACUGUGACGGUAUCUUACCAGAAAGGGACGGCUAACUACGUG
rnacentral:rRNA from 1 species